rnacentral:rRNA from 1 species
AUUGAACGCUGGCGGCAGGCUUUACACAUGCAAGUCGAGCGAGCGGCGGACGGGUGAGUAAUGUCUGGGAAACUGCCUGAUGGAGGGGGAUAACUACUGGAAACUGUAGCUAAUACCGCCUCGCAUCAGAUGUGCCCAGAUGGGAUUAUCUAGUAGGUGGGGCAAUGGCUCACCUAGGCGACGAUCCCUAGCUGGUCUGAGAGGAUGACCAGCCACACUGGAACUGCGACACGGCCCCGACUCCUACGGGAGGCAGCAGUGGGGAAUAUUGCACAAUGGGGGAAAUCCUGAUGCAGCCAUCCCGCGUGUGUGAAGAAGGCCUUCGGGUUGUAAAGCACUUUCAGCGAGGAGGCGUUACUCGCAGAAGAAGCACCGGCUAACUCCGUGCCAGCAGCCGCGGUAAUUC